UUAUGUUGAAGCUGUUCUUAACAGUCUUGCAGCCAAUGUGCCCAAAGCAGUUGUUCUCUGCCAAGUAGAGAAGGCAAAAGAAGACAUGCUUACUAAACUGUAUAGUUCUAUCAGCGCCCAAAGUACUGCAAAGAUUGAAGAGCUGCUCCAGGAAGACCAGAAUGUAAAACGCAGGAGAGAGCGCAUACAAAAACAAUCUUCUCUUCUUUCUAAACUUACUAGACAACUCAGUAUCCAUGACAAUAGAGCAGCAGCUGCUGCCAUCUACGCUAAUGGUGAAGCAGAAAGUAGUCCAACAGCAUCAAGCCCGUCAUCUGGUGAUGAUUGGAGGUCUGCAUUUGAUGCUGCUGCAAAUGGCUCUUCUAGUCAUUCUAGGUAUGGAUCAAGUGGCAGUA
rnacentral:misc_RNA from 1 species